rnacentral:rRNA from 1 species
CCUACGGGAGGCAGCAGUGAGGAAUAUUGGUCAAUGGACGCAAGUCUGAACCAGCCAUGCCGCGUGCAGGAAGACGGCUCUAUGAGUUGUAAACUGCUUUUGUACGAGGGUAAACGCAGAUACGCGUAUCUGUCUGAAAGUAUCGUACGAAUAAGGAUAGGCUAACUCCGUGCCAGCAGCCGCGGUAAUACGGAGGAUUCAAGCGUUAUCCGGAUUUAAUGGGUUUAAAGGGUGCGUAGGCGGUCGGAUAAGUUAGAGUUGAAAUCCCGAGGCUCAACUUCGGAAUUGCCUCUGAGACUGUUCGGCUAGAGAGUAGUUGCGGUAGGCGGAAUGUAUGGUGUAGCGGUGAAAUGCUUAGAGAUCAUACAGAACACCGAUUGCGAAGGCAGCUUACCAAGCUACUUCUGACGUUGAGGCACGAAAGCGUGGGGAGCAAACAGGAUUAGAUACCCCAGUAGUC